GAUGAACGCUGGCGGUGGGCCUAACACAUGCAAGUCGCGCGAGCUAAUUCAAGAUCCCUUCCGGGCGAUUUGUUGGCCGCUAGCGGCGGGUGGGUGGGUAACACGUGGGCAAUCUGCCCUAAAGACUGGGAUACCACUUGGAAACAGGUGCUAAUACCGGAUAACAACAUGAAUCGCAUGAUUCAAGUUUGAAAGGCGGCGCAAGCUGUCACUUUAGGAUGAGCCCGCGGCGCAUUAGCUAGUUGGUGGGGUAAAGGCCUACCAAGGCAAUGAUGCGUAGCCGAGUUGAGAGACUGAUCGGCCACAUUGGGACUGAGACACGGCCCAAACUCCUACGGGAGGCAGCAGUAGGGAAUCUUCCACAAUGGACGCAAGUCUGAUGGAGCAACGUCGCGUGAGUGAAGAAGGUCUUCGGAUCGUAAAGCUCUGUUGUUGGUGAAGAAGGAUAGAGGCAGUAACUGGUCUUUAUUUGACGGUAAUCAACCAGAAAGUCACGGCUAACUACGUGCCAGCAGCCGCGGUAAUACGUAGGUGGCAAGCGUUGUCCGGAUUUAUUGGGCGUAAAGCGAGCGCAGGCGGAAUGAUAAGUCUGAUGUGAAAGCCCACGGCUCAACCGUGGAACUGCAUCGGAAACUGUCAUUCUUGAGUGCAGAAGAGGAGAGUGGAACUCCAUGUGUAGCGGUGGAAUGCGUAGAUAUAUGGAAGAACACCAGUGGCGAAGGCGGCUCUCUGGUCUGCAACUGACGCUGAGGCUCGAAAGCAUGGGUAGCGAACAGGAUUAGAUACCCUGGUAGUCCAUGCCGUAAACGAUGAGCGCUAGGUGUUGGGGACUUUCCGGUCCUCAGUGCCGCAGCAAACGCAUUAAGCGCUCCGCCUGGGGAGUACGGCCGCAAGAUGA
rnacentral:rRNA from 1 species